rnacentral:lncRNA from 1 species
AAAAAAAAUGUCCUGUCACUAACAUGGAAAGAAUAUGCUGUGGAAAGGUUUGACACAAGGGAGAAAAUUAAACUAUAUACAUAAAAUGUAUUGCAUUUUGGUCUGUGAUACUCAAAUACAUUCUCAAUUUGCUCAAGUUGUAGAGAUUACAAUCUACGGCCCAAAACUAACUAUAAAAGGAAAGUACAUAGAUAGAUCAUGACAACCUCAAAAGAUAUGUAUUUUCAGCUUCUAUACACAUAUCUUGCACCGUGGCGUCUUGAGCAACUGAAACUCGAGCUUUCAGCUGUUCCCAUUCCUCCCUAAACACACUGUAACUCGAGUUCUUCGCAAACACAUCUACAGACACCUCCUUCCUUUCAAUCAUGGCUCCUGCAUAUUGUUCGAACUUGACAAUCUUGUCCAUCAAAACCGACUGCCUCCCUGCAUCCCUCUCACACUGCAACACACACUCCCUAGCUUCCUCUACUCGAGCCCAGAAGCACGAAUCCUGAGUCAAACUAGCAAACCUGCUUCUCGGGUUGCCUUCCUCGUCCCCAACUUUUCUGUCCCUCCACCACUUGUCGAAAAUCUUGAACCUCUUCUCCCUGCCGUGCUCAAUGUAGUGCCCUUUCCUCUCGUGCAUACACGUCCUGUAAUACUCUGCAAUCUCCAGAGGCUCGACAAGGAGUUUGUAGAAGUGAGACGCGUUGACAUACUUUGUCAGCUUGUGAAAGUCCUGAGUGAGUUGAUUCGUCUCCAACAUGUUGAUCACUUCGUCCCAAAACAAUCCGAGCCUAACACGGUUCAAAUUCACUCUCGAAUCUCUCUUCGAGUUUCUUAGCUUGAACGCGUCGUAGUAUCCCAUCCCAUCAUCAGACUCGUCACAGAAUUUUUUGUACCACUCGAUCUGAGACCUUAGAGGAUUGACUUUGGCCAAGGAAACAGCCAUCUUAGCAUUGUUGAGGUUGAUCCUGCAUCCAAUAUGCCGCGCCAUAACUAGGCAGUUCUUCGCUGUGCCAUACAUGGCUUCCUGGAAAUCAAUUCCUGAUGACUGCAAUGCCAAUGUGAUCCCGGCUUCACUGCUCGACUCAGAGACGUCUGUUAAGCUCCUCCUCCGUAGGUAGUGCCAACAAACACGCCCAACAUAGCUCUCGUACUUGAGAUGAUCCUCUAUAUAGGAUACGGCAGAGCCCUUCAACAUUGUCAUGUAGAGCAACUUGACAAUAGCCACUCUGUUAUCCAAGCAAAUCGCGCCAUUAUCAGUGCAGAACAAGUAGCCUCCAAACGGCCAGAACAGGCUCCCUUCUUCUUGAUCUUCGACUCCUCCACACCUCUUCUCAGCACAAGUCAGCACUAACCUGAACACUUGGACUAUGUCCUCGUAGGACAGCUGGGAAGCAAGCUGCGCGCGAGAUGGCGAAGCCAUUGACAACUGCCAGAACUGGAACAGGAUGCGGAGCUCAUCCAUGAUGGGAGUUGCUGGAGCAAAGAGCAUUCGUGGCACGAUGUCAUGCUGCCCCACGACGUGGCAGAAGUUGCCACCCCAUCUCUCUUGGAGGAUCGCUUGAGAGAAUGAUUCGUUUCCGAGCAUCGGUGAACCAAAUGUGAUGCACAACACUUGAAUGGAAGGUGAAUUAGUCUGAAUAUUGGAGAGGAGCCAAAGGGCUAAGAGGGAUGCAAGUGCUCCUCCUAGCGAAUGACCAGUGCACACAACUGAUUUACAUCCAUUCAGUAGGAGUUCAUCA